AACGCAAAUUGCGCCCAAGGCUUCGGCCAAAGGCAUGUCUGCCUCAGCGUCGGCUUACAUCCUCGCCCUCCCUCAUGUGAAGGGCGGACUUGGCCUUCCCGGCUCAUUUUUGAUGCCCGGGUUGGCUGAAGCCAAGAGGCUUGAACAUUGCCCCGUUGUAGGGCGAUGGCUUGGUAGGUAGGCAACUCCUACACAACCUGCCGUCACCCGAGGGGACUUUGUUGGAGGCCUAGCAGGAAUUGGUGAUGGUAUCGACCGUCCCAAAGCUCUAACCUUCGACCUGAGCUCAGGCAAGACUACCCGCUGAACUUAA
rnacentral:misc_RNA from 1 species